rnacentral:rRNA from 1 species
UGGGGAAUAUUGCACAAUGGGGGAAACCCUGAUGCAGUAACGCCGCGUGAGUGAUGACGGCCUUCGGGUUGUAAAGCUCUGUCUUCAGGGACGAUAAUGACGGUACCUGAGGAGGAAGCCACGGCUAACUACGUGCCAGCAGCCGCGGUAAUACGUAGGUGGCAAGCGGUGUCCGGAUUUACUGGGCGUAAAGGGAGAGUAGGCGGACUUUUAAGUGAGAUGUGAAAUACCCGGGCUCAACCUGGGUGCUGCAUUUCAAACUGGAAGUCUAGAGUGCAGGAGAGGAGAGUGGAAUUCCUAGUGUAGCGGUGAAAUGCGUAGAGAUUAGGAAGAACACCAGUGGCGAAGGCGACUCUCUGGACUGUAACUGACGCUGAGGC